GGCCUCGUAGCUCAGUUGGCUGGAGCGUUGGUUGUACUAAAGCCUUCCCCUUGUUGACGUGUGUUCGAAUCCCACCGAGGCCA
rfam:Schistocephalus solidus strain NST_G2 genome assembly, scaffold: SSLN_contig0000481